rnacentral:rRNA from 1 species
UACAGAGGUGGCAAGCGUUGUUCGGAAUUACUGGGCGUAAAGGGCUCGUAGGCGGCCAAUUAAGUCAGCCGUGAAAUCCCCAGGCUCAACCUGGGAACUGCGUCUGAUACUGGAUGGCUUGAAUCCGGGAGAGGGAUGCAGAAUUCCAGGUGUAGCGGUGAAAUGCGUAGAUAUCUGGAGGAAUACCGGUGGCGAAGGCGGCAGCCUGGACCGGCAUUGACGCUGAGGAGCGAAAG